rnacentral:rRNA from 1 species
GACGAACGCUGGCGGCGUGCUCAACACAUGCAAGUCGAACGGUAAGGCCCUUCGGGGUACACGAGUGGCGAACGGGUGAGUAACACGUGGGUGAUCUGCCCUGCACUUCGGGAUAAGCCUGGGAAACUGGGUCUAAUACCGGAUAGGACCACUGCCUGCAUGGGUGGUGGUGGAAAGCUUUUGCGGUGUGGGAUGGGCCCGCGGCCUAUCAGCUUGUUGGUGGGGUGAUGGCCUACCAAGGCGACGACGGGUAGCCGGCAUGAGAGGGUGACCGGCCACACUGGGACUGAGAUACGGCCCAGACUCAUACGGGAGGCAGCAGUGGGGAAUAUUGCACAAUGGGCGAAAGCCUGAUGCAGCGACGCCGCGUGAGGGAUGACGGCCUUCGGGUUGUAAACCUCUUUCAGCACCGACGAAGCGCAAGUGACGGUAGGUGCAGAAGAAGGACCGGCCAACUACGUGCCAGCCGCCGCCGUAA